rnacentral:rRNA from 1 species
UACGUAGGGUGCAAGCGUUGUCCGGAAUUAUUGGGCGUAAAGAGCUCGUAGGCGGUUUGUCGCGUCUGCUGUGAAAACUGGAGGCUCAACCUCCUAGCCUGCAGUGGGUACGGGCAGACUAGAGUGCGGUAGGGGAGAUUGGAAUUCCUGGUGUAGCGGUGGAAUGCGCAGAUAUCAGGAGGAACACCGAUGGCGAAGGCAGAUCUCUGGGCCGUAACUGACGCUGAGGAGCGAAAGCAUGGGGAGCGAACAGG